rnacentral:rRNA from 1 species
AACGAACGCUGGCGGCAGGCCUAACACAUGCAAGUCGAGCGAGGACUUCGGUUCUAGCGGCGGACGGGUGAGUAACGCGUGGGAAUGUGCCCUUCUCUACGGAAUAGCCCUGGGAAACUGGGAUAAUUCCCUUAUAGGCCCUUUGGGGGAAAGAUUUAUCGGAGAAGGAUCAGCCCGCGUUGGAUUAGGUAGUUGGUGGGGUAAUGGCCUACCAAGCCGACGAUCCAUAGCUGGUUUGAGAGGAUGAUCAGCCACACUGGGACUGAGACACGGCCCAGACUCCUACGGGAGGCAGCAGUGGGGAAUCUUAGACAAUGGGGGCAACCCUGAUCUAGCCAUGCCGCGUGAGUGAUGAAGGCCUUAGGGUUGUAAAGCUCUUUCAGCUGGGAAGAUAAUGACGGUACCAGCAGAAGAAGCCCCGGCUAACUCCGUG